rnacentral:rRNA from 1 species
UACGAAGGGGGCGAGCGUUGUUCGGAAUUACUGGGCGUAAAGGGCGCGCAGGCGGCCUUAGAAGUCAGAUGUGAAAGCCCCGGGCAUCCAACCUGGGAAAUGGGCAUUUGUAUCUCUGAGGCUGGAGUACGGGAGAGGAGAGUGGAAUUCCCAGUGUAGAGGUGAAAUUCGUAGAUAUUGGGAAGAACACCGGUGGCGAAGGCGGCUCUCUGGACCGUAACUGACGCUGAGGCGCGAAAGCGUGGGGAGCAAACAGG